rnacentral:rRNA from 1 species
AUGGUCCUACGGGAGGCAGCAGUGGGGAAUAUUGCACAAUGGGGGAAACCCUGAUGCAGCGACGCCGCGUGGGCGAGGAAGUACCUCGGUAUGUAAAGCCCUAUCAGCAGGGAAGAAACAGGACAGUACCUGACCAAGAAGCCCCGGCUAACUACGUGCCAGCAGCCGCGGUAAUACGUAGGGGGCAAGCGUUAUCCGGAUUCACUGGGCGUAAAGGGAGCGCAGGCGGCAUGGCAAGUCUGAUGUGAAAACCCGGGGCCCAACCCCGGGGGUGCAUUGGAAACUGCCAGGCUGGCG